AAGGCUGAGGCGUGAUGACGAGGCACUACGGUGCUGAAGCAACAAAUGCCCUGCUUCCAGGAAAAGCCUCUAAGCAUCAGGUAACAUCAAAUCGUACCCCAAACCGACACAGGUGGUCAGGUAGAGAAUACCAAGGCGCUUGAGAGAACUCGGGUGAAGGAACUAGGCAAAAUGGUGCCGUAACUUCGGGAGAAGGCACGCUGAUAUGUAGGUGAAGCGCCUUGCUCGUGGAGCUGAAAUCAGUCGAAGAUACCAGCUGGCUGCAACUGUUUAUUAAAAACACAGCACUGUGCAAACACGAAAGUGGACGUAUACGGUGUGACGCCUGCCCGGUGCCGGAAGGUUAAUUGAUGGGGUUAGCGGUAACGCGAAGCUCUUGAUCGAAGCCCCGGUAAACGGCGGCCGUAACUAUAACGGUCCUAAGGUAGCGAAAUUCCUUGUCGGGUAAGUUCCGACCUGCACGAAUGGCGUAAUGAUGGCCAGGCUGUCUCCACCCGAGACUCAGUGAAAUUGAACUCGCUGUGAAGAUGCAGUGUACCCGCGGCAAGACGGAAAGACCCCGUGAACCUUUACUAUAGCUUGACACUGAACAUUGAGCCUUGAUGUGUAGGAUAGGUGGGAGGCUUUGAAGUGUGGACGCCAGUCUGCAUGGAGCCGACCUUGAAAUACCACCCUUUAAUGUUUGAUGUUCUAACGUUGACCCGUGAUCCGGGUUGCGGACAGUGUCUGGUGGGUAGUUUGACUGGGGCGGUCUCCUCCUAAAGAGUAACGGAGGAGCACGAAGGUUGGCUAAUCCUGGUCGGACAUCAGGAGGUUAGUGCAAUGGCAUAAGCCAGCUUGACUGCGAGCGUGACGGCGCGAGCAGGUGCGAAAGCAGGUCAUAGUGAUCCGGUGGUUCUGAAUGGAAGGGCCAUCGCUCAACGGAUAAAAGGUACUCCGGGGAUAACAGGCUGAUACCGCCCAAGAGUUCAUAUCGACGGCGGUGUUUGGCACCUCGAUGUCGGCUCAUCACAUCCUGGGGCUGAAGUAGGUCCCAAGGGUAUGGCUGUUCGCCAUUUAAAGUGGUACGCGAGCUGGGUUUAGAACGUCGUGAGACAGUUCGGUCCCUAUCUGCCGUGGGCGCUGGAGAACUGAGGGGGGCUGCUCCUAGUACGAGAGGACCGGAGUGGACGCAUCACUGGUGUUCGGGUUGUCAUGCCAAUGGCACUGCCCGGUAGCUAAAUGCGGAAGAGAUAAGUGCUGAAAGCAUCUAAGCACGAAACUUGCCCCGAGAUGAGUUCUCCCUGAGACUUAGAGUGUCCUGAAGGAACGUUGAAGACGACGACGUUGAUAGGCCGGGUGUGUAAGCGCAGCGAUGCGUUGAGCUAACCGGUACUAAUGAACCGUGAGGCUUAACC
rnacentral:rRNA from 1 species